rnacentral:rRNA from 1 species
UACGUAGGGUGCAGGCGUUAAUCGGAAUUACUGGGCGUAAAGCGUGCGCAGGCGGCUUCCCAAGUCAGUGGUGAAAGCCCGGAGCUCAACUCCGGAAAUGCCAUUGAAACUGUGAAGCUUGAGAACGAGAGAGGUGAGUGGAAUUCCCAGUGUAGAGGUGAAAUUCGUAGAUAUUGGGAAGAACACCAGUGGCGAAGGCGGCUCACUGGCUCGUAACUGACGCUCAUGCACGACAGCGUGGGGAGCAAACAGG